GGUAGGAGGGAGGUAGAGGAAAAGGUAGUGGGGCCGCGGGACCGGUGCGUACGGCCCAGACCUAUUCAGUUGAUCAGUGAGUGCGGUAGUUGUCUCAUCUCGUACCGCGCCAGGUGUAACUUUCCUCUCUUUCUCUCUCGGUCUCUGUGUGUCCUUGAUACGACGGAGACAGUGAUGGAGUUAAAUCUCACGGAACGUGCUCCGAUCCGGAGCCAAAGCCGCAGCGUUUACAUCACUUUCGAUAUAACCGGCUUACCAUAUACCGGUCAGCACGAGAUACAUUAGUUGAAAUAAGUAGUUUUGAGAGUAUCGAAGCGCGGAGUACCUUGAGUUUAUGCUUAAUAGCGUCACUCUUACCAAGACCAUUGCGUGUAUUACAUUCAAGAUUUAGCAUGCCGAAAUAAUUGAUGUCGAAUUGAAAACAGAGUUCUGACUAUACAAUGAUUAAUAUUCCUAUUUCAAAGUUCGUUGAACAGUAAUAUAACGAACAUAAUCGAAGGGAAAUAUGAUUAGAAAUAAGGAAGCAUAGGAUGUACACGAAGAUAUAACGUUCGCGUAUUUCCUCAAGAUAGCGGAGAAUUUCUUCAAGGCCGAAUGUCAAUAACUCGUUCCUGACAAAAUGGAUAUAUAAAAGUUGUUCUUGAUGUUAAUGUAUUUAGGUGAGCAUUUAAUUUUUCAAACAAAUGUGGUCUUUUUCACGAAUUCUUGACAAGCGAUUUUAAAUAUCUUAUGGAACCUUACAUAAUAUCUAAAAAUAAGUAUAGCACGUUCGCGCGCGCACACAUCGAUAAGACACAAUCAUCGAAGUAACGAUAAUUCACAACGUUGUAUCUCACGUUGGCGUGUUAAAAGAAAUUUCAGCACGAUCGAUUACUCGUUUACACCGUGUAACGUGCGCUGCCGAUCCGUGUUGGAGUAAAUGUGCGUAUUAUGCACAAACUUGCACGCAACAUCAACCACGGACCGUUUCCUCGCGGUAUCGGCAAAAAGCAAUGUCAGAUUAUAUUUUCCUCUUUUGUGGAUCAUUUUAAAAAAUACUUUCCCUUUCUUAACAGUUAUAUAAAAUAAUUUUUAAUUACAUAUCAAUAUUUCAAAGGGCGAACUAGCAGCCCAAGAAAAAAAUGUCGUAUUCACAUAAAUCGUUGUAAGCAUUUUUAUCAUCUUUUUCCAGAAAUAAUAUAUGAUAAUCAAAACAACAAAAUAUUAGAAAAGUUAUAGCGGUUUUUUUGUUAUUCACAGUUGGAGAGAUUUAUAAUAUAUAUUAAAUUCGAUGUAAACAUCGAGUUUCACAUCAGAAUAAUAUUUGCUUGAUAAUUAAAGGGGACAAGUAUUCUUCUUCGCCUGUAUUUUCUUUAAUUUUUUGUAGCACAGAAAAUAAAGCCUGAGCGAGCUAUGUUUAUACUAUCUAUUUAUUUGUUUCGGGCUUUAAGUUUGUCCCCUGAAGUAUUAUAUUAUAUGAUAACAACAUGUAUAACUCAAAACCACUCUCUAUAUAAUUUAAUUAUCUUUACAUUUAUUAUACGUAUUUAUUUGUAAUUAUAACAGAUUUUUAAUUUUUUUCUGGAACGGAUUCUUCUGGUUGAUGAGAGCUAGCUCGAUACCGGCAAAAAGUCAUUUCUGUACGCACAUUCACCGAACAACCGCAACCGGUAUUAUUGCCCCGCGGAAGUUUAUAUCGCAUGCGAUCUUUGUUGCGUUGGCGAACUCGCCGGAGAUCGGCAUGGUAGAGCGAACGUUCGAGGAAUAAAAUGCAAACACGCCGCAUCUGCAUACGUACAUACGCAUUACACGAAUCUUCGUUUAAAAAAGUUAUCAAUGUGAAAUUCUCUCCGGAAUUUGCGAAUAAAUUCGACGCGAUUUUAAUAA